rnacentral:rRNA from 1 species
UACAGAGGGUGCUAGCGUUGUUCGGAAUCAUUGGGCGUAAAGGGCGUGUAGGCGGUUUGUUAAGUCAUGUGUGAAAUCCCUCGGCUCAACCGGGGAACGACGCAUGAAACUGGCAAGCUAGAGUACCAAAGAGGGGGGUGGAAUUCCCGGGUGUAGUGGUGAAAUGCGUAGAGAUCCGGAGGAACACCAGUGGCGAAGGCGACACGCUGGGCCGUACCUGACACUGAUGCGCGACAGCAUGGGGAGCAAACAGG